GAUGAACGCUGGCGGCGUGCCUAAUACAUGCAAGUCGAGCGAACAGACGAGGAGCUUGCUCCUCUGACGUUAGCGGCGGACGGGUGAGUAACACGUGGAUAACCUACCUAUAAGACUGGGAUAACUUCGGGAAACCGGAGCUAAUACCGGAUAAUAUAUUGAACCGCAUGGUUCAAUAGUGAAAGACGGUUUUGCUGUCACUUAUAGAUGGAUCCGCGCCGCAUUAGCUAGUUGGUAAGGUAACGGCUUACCAAGGCAACGAUGCGUAGCCGACCUGAGAGGGUGAUCGGCCACACUGGAACUGAGACACGGUCCAGACUCCUACGGGAGGCAGCAGUAGGGAAUCUUCCGCAAUGGGCGAAAGCCUGACGGAGCAACGCCGCGUGAGUGAUGAAGGUCUGCGGAUCGUAAAACUCUGUUAUUAGGGAAGAACAAAUGUGUAAGUAACGAUGCACGUCUGGACGGUACCUAAGCAGAAAGCCACGGCUAACUACGU
rnacentral:rRNA from 1 species